rnacentral:rRNA from 1 species
UACGGGGGAGCAAGCGUUGUUCGGAUUUACUGGGCGUAAAGGGCGCGAUAGGCGGCCACUGGCAAGUCGGUUGUGAAAUCUCCCGGGGCUUAACCCGGAAAGGGUCAAUUCGAUACUGCAGGGCUAGAGUGCAGAAGGGGCAGGGUGGAAUUCCCGGUGUAGCGGUGGAAUGACGUGAGAGAUCGGGAAGAACAUCAGUGGCGAAGGCGGCCUGCUGGGCUGUUGCUGACGCUGAGGCGCGACAGCGUGG